rnacentral:lncRNA from 1 species
AAGGAGGGGGUUUGUCUGCGUGCAGAGCAAGAGCUGGAGGAGCUUAACCCCUUGCAAGCCCUCCGCAGUCAGCGCUGCCCAGGAAAGGACUCAGGGAACAAACUCCUGACGUCCUGGGCUUGGGAUCAUCUCAGCCCAGGCCCUGCAGCUCUGACUCUGCCAAUGUGCAACCUGAAUCUCAGGGAGACCGUGGUGAUUCCUGCCAUCUCAACCCACCGUCCUCACCCCGAGGUGGUCCUGCAGCCAGAGUGGGAUGUUCGGGGCAGCAUGGAGGUGUGAACCUGGCGGAUCAGGCAACCUCCAGAUGUCAGCUCCAGCGUGCCCUCCUUGGGGACUCCCCAUUUGGAACUAUAUUUCAUAUGUGAUUAUUUGAUUAACAUCUGUCUCUUCACUCAGUUGGGAGCUCUGUGAGGCUCUCAUCAUCAUAUCCCCAGGACCCAGCACACAGGCCCUGAUAUACAAUAGAAAUACAAUAAAUAUAUCCUGGAUGAUCCACUCAACCUAGCUACUUGCCCAAGCCUGACUCAUAGCCCUCAUAACAACCCAAUGAGGCUGAUGUGACAACCCCAUUUCACAGUUGGGUAAACAGAGGCCCCUAGAGCCCAAGCAGCUUGCCCAAGGUCACAAAGGUGAUGAGCUGCAGUAGAGUUUCAAACACACAAAGACCUGGCUUCUAAUAACCAAGCUUGGUGCUCACAACAUUGCAGCCCGCAGAGAUAAUUAAUACCUGUGCACAAUAAAAUCGAGAGUGGAGCUUCUUACCAACUAAUUGCAAUUCACAAAGCCAAUGUUCCAAUUUUAUAGUGAGGCCCUGGUUCCACACAGAGCCUUUUGGUUUCCCAAAAUGCUUUCUUCUCCUUUAUAGCACUAGAUGCUCAAGAACAGAACGUUUAAGUGGGGAGAACACGAGUAUUAUUCCAUUGUAUAGGUGAGGACACUGAGGCCCAGAGAAGAGAAGAGAAGAGAUUCGU